AGGGUUUGUAGAGUGCAGCCGGCCUUCUCCCCUCAGGCGAUGAGUUCGAUUCGAGCCUCCACAACUAGCGUCCCCGCGCAGAGAAGGCUGAGUAGCGCGGCACUUGUGCGAGCGGGCACUUAGGCUGGUGCCCCAGAAGGUGUGAGCCCCACGCCUCUUUGGCUGUUUUCCCAGACUCGGGAGAGCUUCCUGGGCUGAGGGCUUCCCCGAUCGGGGAGAGGCGGCCCGCUGGUUCAGCAAAGCCAGGCCGGCGCUUUCACGAGACACCGCUUGAGGUCUCUUGGCAGAUUGUUCUUCCCGUCUGCCGUUGUCACACUGAGGAUGUGGAGGUCCCUGGGCUGGGACUGGACACUGAAUUCCCAAGGGUCGAGUGGGGAUCUGCUAAGUGUGACUGGCCGGGUGUACAUAUCUUUCCAGGCCAACACACCGAUCCGAAGAACGACGGGGGCGUCCCAAGACGGCCUGUGUUGCAGGCUCGGCAGGGAUGUGCCGCCCACGGUCGAGCCUCCGCUCCCGAGAGCGUGCCUGGAGGAAUACUCCUGGACCUGCGCCACGGACGUCGGCCAGUCCGAGUCCUGCUGGACUCAGUCGAGCAGUGCCGUCUUCUGCUUCCAGGGCCUGGCCGUCUCCUCCCUGGCAGACACCCCCAGUGAGUAUUGCCGCUGUGCAGGGGAUAAGGCUCCAGCUGGACUCCCUGGGCGGUCGGUGUCCUUGGCAUGCCAGCCCUCGGGCUGUGCAGACAGACACAUUGAAGGGAAUCAGGCUGGAGGACAGAGUUGGAAGCACAGACGGGAGACGCUUGAGGGAGCUGCGCUCCCUUCCUUCUUGCCAGGAUGCGCCCAGGUGCCCCUGGCCCCAGUGACACAUCACGGGACCCAAAGCCGGCAGGACAAACUCAGCUCCCCUGUGCCGCACGUAGCGCCAGGGCAGGUGUCUGUCAAACAUCCCCGCUGGCGUGAAAUGUCUCCUCGCACCUUCAGUGCUCUAACUUUCACGCCUGAGGCGUGGCCCUCCAGAUUCUAGGCCCACCCCGUGCGCCUGGCCUCCUUGUGGACAUCUGCCUCCGAGACGCCUCCCGGGCUUCACUCUUGUGGGCCCCACUCUCCGUCUCCGUCACGUUGGCCUCUCUUCCGAAGCAGUCCUCGGAAGAACGCCCCUAGCCACCUGUCCCGUUUCCCGUGCUCCCGUGUUUCCCGCGUGCGAGCCUAGGCCUUGGCCUUCUCCCAGCCCACAGGGUGGCCAGUGUUUCUGCGGAGCAGGGGGCGACGAUGCCUCUGGAUGCCAGGGUUUGUAGAGUGCAGCCGGCCUUCUCCCCUCAGGCGAUGAGUUCGACUCGAGCCUCCACAACUAGCGUCCCCGCGCAGAGAAGGCUGAGUAGCGCGGCACUUGUGCGAGCGGGCACUUAGGCUGGUGCCCCAGAAGGUGUGAGCCCCACGCCUCUUUGGCUGUUUUCCCAGACUCGGGAGAGCAUCCUGGGCUGAGGGCCUCCCCGAUCGGGGAGACGCGGCCGCUGGCUCAGCAAAGCCAGGCCGGCGCUUUCACGAGACACCGCCUGAGGUCUCCUGGACAA
rnacentral:lncRNA from 1 species